rnacentral:lncRNA from 7 species
GUUAGUGUGACCCAAUGACCUCAUGUACAGCCUUAUUAAACUUGAAAAGUCUCUGCAUUUGAGUUCCAAGGAGUUCUGGCAAAGCAUGUUGAAGUCUGAGAGUCAAACUCUGCAUGCUUUCUUAACAGCUACAGGAAUUAUACCAUCAUGGUUGGCUCUGCUUCACUUGGCAUUGAGAAGUCAACUGCAGCAGCUUUUCACCAUAGCCCUGCAUCUCAUGGAACCUUUGAACUGCUGCUAAAACAUCAUAAAGUGUAUAAGAGCCACCAGAUGCUAAACAUUUAUACUUAAGGCUGAUGCUUUUUACUUCCUUUAGCUAUUGAAUACAUCCUCUUCCCUCCUAGCCAAGAUUACUGCCAAAAAUAAGAUGACACAAAUACAGCACUGUCUCCUCCCUACCUAGGUCUUGGAUCACGAAGCAUGGCAGCAUUUAUGUUCCAGGAUAGUACUUGAAGAACACGCUUCACAGGGACACAGGCAUUCCUUAGGGUAAUGCAAGCAUCUGGAAGAAAGCCCAUCUUCAGAAACACAACUCAUCUGAUCUUUGAGAGUCCCUGUGAUAGAGAAAUACCACAUGCAAUGGUGGAGGACAAUUCAAAAGCAGAUAUGCAAAUGUUCACACAGUUUCCUUGAAGGCGGUUAAGAUACCUAUCUAUAAAGCCAAGAAGUGACUGUGAGGUUGAGCCAUCAGUGCCAGCUCCCAAAGAGAAAACGUGCCAAGAGGAAAUUCAGCAGAAAUAUGGUGUACCAUGUUCAUAUGAAAGCAAAUCAGAAAUAAAUCUUGUUGCU